UACGUAGGGGGCAAGCGUUGUCCGGAAUCAUUGGGCGUAAAGCGCGCGUAGGCGGCCCGGUAAGUCCGCUGUAAAAGUCCAGGGCUCAACCCUGGGAUGCCGGUGGAUACUGUCGGGCUCGAGUCCGGAAGAGGAGUGUGGAAUUCCGUGGUGUAGCGGUGAAAUGCGCAGAUAUCAGGAGGAACACCAAUGGCGAAGGCAGCACUCUGGGACGUGACUGACGCUGAGACGCGAAAGCGUGGGGAGCAAACAGG
rnacentral:rRNA from 1 species